GAUGAACGCUGGCGGCGUGCCUAAUACAUGCGAGUCGAGCGAACAGAUGAGGAGCUUGCUCCUCUGACGUUAGCGGCGGACGGGUGAGUAACACGUGGAUAACCUACCUAUAAGACUGGGAUAACUUCGGGAAACCGGAGCUAAUACCGGAUAAUAUAUUGAACCGCAUGGUUCAAUAGUGAAAGACGGUUUUGCUGUCACUUAUAGAUGGAUCCGCGCCGCAUUAGCUAGUUGGUAAGGUAACGGCUUACCAAGGCAACGAUGCGUAGCCGACCUGAGAGGGUGAUCGGCCACACUGGAACUGAGACACGGUCCAGACUCCUACGGGAGGCGGCAGUAGGGAAUCUUCCGCAAUGGGCGAAAGCCUGACGGAGCAACGCCGCGUGAGUGAUGAAGGUCUUCGGAUCGUAAAACUCUGUUAUUAGGGAAGAACAAAUGUGUAAGUAACUAUGCACGUCUUGACGGUACCUAAUCAGAAAGCCACGGCUAACUACGUG
rnacentral:rRNA from 1 species